rnacentral:rRNA from 1 species
GUGGGGAAUAUUGCACAAUGGGGGAAACCCUGAUGCAGCAACGCCGCGUGAGUGAUGACGGUCUUCGGGUUGUAAAACUCUGUCUUUGGGGACGAUAAUGACGGUACCCAAGGAGGAAGCCACGGCUAACUACGUGCCAGCAGCCGCGGUAAUACGUAGGUGGCAAGCGUUGUCCGGAUUUACUGGGCGUAAAGGGAGCGUAGGUGGAUAUUUAAGUGGGAUGUGAAAUCCCCGGGCUUAACCUGGGGGCUGCAUUCCAAACUGGAUGUCUAGAGUGCAGGAGAGGAGAGUGGAAUUCCUAGUGUAGCGGUGAAAUGCGUAGAGAUUAGGAAGAACACCAGUGGCGAAGGCGAUUCUCUGGACUGUAACUGACGCUGAGGCUCGAAAGCGUGGGGAGCAAACAGGAUUAGAAACCCGAGUAGUCC